rnacentral:miRNA from 1 species
GAAUCUAAUCGUUGUCGUUGUCGUUGUCGUUGUCGUUGUCGUAAUCGUAUUCGACAACGACAACGACAACGACAACGACAACGACA